rnacentral:rRNA from 1 species
GUUGAACGCUGGCGGCAGGCCUAACACAUGCAAGUCGAACGGUAACAGGAAGCAGCUUGCUGCUUUGCUGACGAGUGGCGGACGGGUGAGUAAUGUCUGGGAAACUGCCUGAUGGAGGGGGAUAACUACUGGAAACGGUAGCUAAUACCGCAUAACGUCGCAAGACCAAAGAGGGGGACCUUCGGGCCUCUUGCCAUCGGAUGUGCCCAGAUGGGAUUAGCUAGUAGGUGGGGUAACGGCUCACCUAGGCGACGAUCCCUAGCUGGUCUGAGAGGAUGACCAGCCACACGGGAACUGAGACACGGUCCAGACUCCUACGGGAGGAAGCAGUGGGGACUAUUGCACAAUGGGCGCAAGCCUGAUGCAGCCAUGCCGCGUGUAUGAAGAAGGACUUCGGGUUGUAAAGUACUUUCAGCGGGGAGGAAGGGAGUAAAGUUAAUACCUUAGCUCAUUGACGUUACCCGCAGAAGAAGCACCGGCUAACUCCGUG